rnacentral:rRNA from 1 species
GACGAACCUUGCAAACGUUAUUCGGAAUCACUGGGCUUAAAGGGUGCGUAGGCUGUGCAGAAAGUUGGGUGUGAAAUACCUCGGCUUAACCGAGGAAUUGCGCCCAAAACUACUGUGCUCGAGGAAGAUAGAGGUGAGCGGAACUUAGGGUGGAGCGGUGAAAUGCGUUGAUAUCCUAAGGAACACCGGUGGCGAAAGCGGCUCACUGGAUCUUAUCUGACGCUGAGGCACGAAAGCCAGGGUAGCGAACGGG